CGAGACCGAAGCUAACCUCCUAUGGGAUUUGCCCUCUCAUGCUUUUAGCAAUAUUCUUAGUGGAUUCGGUAUUUGAGUCCAACAAUUAUCCCUCAUUCUUUGAACUGGCUUGUCGCGGUCUAAGUACGGAUCUAUUUUCCACAUCUCUCUUCUUUUCGGGGAACAACCGUAGCACAACUUACUCUAAUUCUUGAAGAUAAAUGCAAUUUAAGAGUUCGUCGGCAUUUCUGGGCUCCACCUGCACUGACGUGCUCCCCCAGAUGACCAUAUCAAUAUUUAGUGGUUGGUGGAGGAGAACUCGGUGAUUCUUCUUCGACUUCUCAAUCUUUUGUUGUACCUUUUUCGUUUUCAAAAUUUUCUUUAGGG
rnacentral:lncRNA from 1 species